CACAAACACAUGGCAAAUGUGGGACCCGCACCAAGCCCUCAUCAUCUUCUUCAACUCAUUUAAAAGUGGUUGAACCGUCCAGUGAAGAAAACUCGCCGGCGAGUUCGAUCAACCAAAGAAAACGAAGGAAUCCAAGGCUAAAAAAUCAGUUGAUUCGGAGAAGAGCCACCCUCCUACUCAUCCUCCUUAUUUUGAGGAAGCGAUUGUAACGUUGAAGAAUAGAACUAGAUCGAACUAGCAUGUGAUACAAAAGUUCAGCGAGGGUUAUAUUGGAGAUGACUACCUACUCUGGUGCUUCGACAGUGGCAAGAGGGCAAACAAAAGUGGCUCCGCGGUGGUGGAGUUUGGGAGACCAGAAGAGAGGGAGCCAGCACUGAAAGGGAGAUGGGUUGUGCCCGUGGUCAUUUGUUCGGAGCUCGGCCGGAGAAGAGAGAAAUGGUGUGCUUUUUUAAGAGAUGACGAAGAUGAGGGUUUGGUGUGACGGUAGUAGGUCAAAAUUUGGGUUGGGUUUAAUUGGAACUGAUAUUAAAAUAGGGAUGAGUCAUUUUAUUCUCAAGCUAUCACGUGUCACUUCGUUUAAAUUAGGAGCAAAUCGGUGUCAAAGUAUAACAGUAGGGGCAUAAUUGGAUGAAAAGUAUAACUAAGGGGAUGAAUAAAUAAUAUUUGAAAGUUAGGGGUA